AAUAGAUACCCCGGUAGUCCACGCCGUAAACGAUGAGUGCUAGGUGUUAGGGGGGUCCAACCCCUUAGUGCUGAAGUUAACACAUUAAGCACUCCGCCUGGGGAGUACGACCGCAAGGUUGAAACUCAAAGGAAUUGACGGGGGCCCGCACAAGCAGUGGAGCAUGUGGUUUAAUUCGAAGCAACGCGAAGAACCUUACCAGGUCUUGACAUCCUCUGACAACCCUAGAGAUAGGGCGUUCCCCUUCGGGGGACAGAGUGACAGGUGGUGCAUGGUUGUCGUCAGCUCGUGUCGUGAGAUGUUGGGUUAAGUCCCGCAACGAGCGCAACCCUUGAUGUUAGUUGCCAGCAUUCAGUUGGGCACUCUACCGUGACUGCCGGUGACAAACCGGAGGAAGGUGGGGAUGACGUCAAAUCAUCAUGCCCCUUAUGACCUGGGCUACACACGUGCUACAAUGGGCGGUACAAAGGGCAGCGAAACCGCGAGGUGGAGCCAAUCCCAUAAAGCCGCUCUCAGUUCGGAUUGCAGGCUGCAACUCG
rnacentral:rRNA from 1 species